rnacentral:rRNA from 1 species
UACGUAGGGGGCAAGCGUUGUCCGGAUUUAUUGGGCGUAAAAGGCUUGUAGGUGGCCACGCCAAGUCGGAUGUGAAAUCUCCCGGCUCAACUGGGAGGGGUCAUUCGAUACUGGCGGGCUCGAGGCCGGUAGGGGGAAGUGGAAUUCCCGGUGUAGUGGUGGAAUGCGUAGAUAUCGGGAGGAACACCAGUGGCGAAGGCGGCUUCCUGGACCGGUUCUGACACUGAGGAGCGAAAGCGUGGGGAGCAAACAGG